ensembl:miRNA MIR24-2 microRNA 24-2
GCCGCCUGUCUGUCUGCCAUCCUGCUGCCUGGCCUCCCUGGGCUCUGCCUCCCGUGCCUACUGAGCUGAAACACAGUUGGUUUGUGCACACUGGCUCAGUUCAGCAGGAACAGGGGUCAAGCCCCCUUGGAGCC